GGGGAAUAUUGCACAAUGGGGGAAACCCUGAUGCAGCAACGCCGCGUGAGUGAUGAAGGCCUUCGGGUUGUAAAGCUCUGUCUUCAGGGACGAUAAUGACGGUACCUGAGGAGGAAGCAACGGCUAACUACGUGCCAGCAGUCGCGGUAAUACGUAGGUGGCAAGCGUUGUCCGGAUUUACUGGGCGUAAAGGGAGCGUAGGCGGAUACUUAAGUGGGAUGUGAAAUACCUGGGCUUAACUUGGGUGCUGCAUUCCAAACUGGGUGUCUAGUGUGUUGGAGAGGAAAGUGGAAUUCCUAGUGUAGCGGUGAAAUGCGUAGAUAUAUGGAGGAACACCAGUGGCGAAGGCGGCUUUCUGGUCUGUAACUGACGUUGUGGCUCGAAAGCGUGGGGAGCAAAC
rnacentral:rRNA from 1 species